AACAACAUCAACAACAACGAGAUCAACAACAGGGAGUACAACUUUUUCAGUUGUUACAGGUCCUAAUGUCACCACUACAGCUUCAAAGAUUACUUCUCAAAUCGG